AUUUGUUGUUUGAAAUUGGUUUACUUACCAUAUCUCUGCGAAAUUCUUAAGGAUAAGCGCUAUCGAUUAUUACGCAAGGAUACUAAGGAUAUCAAUUUGCAUAAGGAUUAAACUUAUAGACAAACUGUUUGGUGUGCUCAAGAGAAACAAUGUCCUUACAGGACCCGAGAUGCAAUACUUAUAGAAAAUAACGAAUAUUUCGGCAAUUUCCUUUUGAAUCCUUGCGAGUCCUAUGUCAAUCGAAGCAUAUUCGCAAGGACUAUUACACUGCCAAAUUUGAUGUUAAUCGUCCUUGUGGUUCUUGAGUUAUCCUGGAAUUUAUGAUUUUCGUAUAUUGCAUUUGCCCAACGGAAGUGAAAAAUUAGAUGUAUUGAAUAUCAGUUGAUAGAGUUGGUCCUUACGAUGCUAGCAAUAUGUGUCCUUUGAAAAUGCUGCAGAAUAUGGCGGAGAUAUAGCUUGUUUUCAAAAAAGGACCCAUGCUGCACCCUCAAAUUGUUGUUGUUGGUCAGUGUAUGCGACGACGAGCCUCAAAAAUUGUCAAGUCAGCAAAUGAAAUACCAGGCGAACAUAAAUAAGUAGCAAGCUGAGCUACAAAAUACCGCCUGCUCAUUUUUGGCGCCAUCUAUGAAUCAUUGCAGCAACUAGAAUUAAAAUUGUGCCGCAAGAAAAAUUGGUACAUCCUAAAAGUAUGCCACAGAAAUAUAUAAUCAGCAAAUUAUACACAACCCCAUAAGUAUGCAGCAGAAUUUUAAUUUGCGAAAUAUUUAGCAAAUUAAGUGCAGCCCCGAAAGUAUAAUAUAGAAA